rnacentral:lncRNA from 1 species
AGCGGCAACAUCUCCUGCCCUGACCCUUAACUCGAGCAAAUUACGGUCAAUGUAAGUCUCAUGUUUUGAGAUGUAUGUCCGGAAAAAAGCACCAUACACGUAAGUAGUUCCCUGGAAUAUUAGAUUGAGAUAUAAAAAAAACAUUGCAUAUCUACAUAUUUGAAAAACAAUAAAUCAUUAUCUACCUUUGUCUUGGGAUACCACAGGUAUAUGUAGAAUGCCAACUUUGCUUCAUUGUACAUUGGCAGCUUGCAAAUUGCUGGUAAGUACCAAAUAGUAACAAAACAUAGCAUACAAACAUGAAUGGUGAGUUUCGAAUUUAUGGUCUCACCAUGAUAUGAAUACAUCACUUAUUUGCUCAAAAAUUAUAAUUGCUGCAACUAGAAUCCUGAUUCAAAUCACAUGGAGUCUAAAUUACAACAGGUUUGGUUCAAUUGUGUGGUAUUUAUUAAACCGUUUAAAAUUUAGUUUAGUUAAUGAUGUGGAUAUAUGAUACUUUGAAAUUUGGAAGGGGAGGCAUACCAGUACUGACA